UGGAUGAACGCUAGCUACAGGCUUAACACAUGCAAGUCGAGGGGCAUCAGGAAGAAAGCUUGCUUUCUUUGCUGGCGACCGGCGCACGGGUGAGUAACACGUAUCCAACCUGCCCUUUACUCGGGGAUAGCCUUUCGAAAGAAAGAUUAAUACCCGAUAGUAUAAUGAUUCCGCAUGGUUUCAUUAUUAAAGGAUUCCGGUAAAGGAUGGGGAUGCGUUCCAUUAGGUUGUUGGUGAGGUAACGGCCCACCAAGCCUUCGAUGGAUAGGGGUUCUGAGAGGAAGGUCCCCCACAUUGGAACUGAGACACGGUCCAAACUCCUACGGGAGGCAGCAGUGAGGAAUAUUGGUCAAUGGGCGCUAGCCUGAACCAGCCAAGUAGCGUGAAGGAUGAAGGCUCUAUGGGUCGUAAACUUCUUUUAUAUAAGAAUAAAGUGCAGUAUGUAUACUGUUUUGUAUGUAUUAUAUGAAUAAGGAUCGGCUAACUCCGUGCCAGCAGCCGCGGUAAUACGGAGGAUCCGAGCGUUAUCCGGAUUUAUUGGGUUUAAAGGGAGCGUAGGUGGACUGGUAAGUCAGUUGUGAAAGUUUGCGGCUCAACCGUAAAAUUGCAGUUGAUACUGUCAGUCUUGAGUACAGUAGAGGUGGGCGGAAUUCGUGGUGUAGCGGUGAAAUGCUUAGAUAUCACGAAGAACUCCGAUUGCGAAGGCAGCUCACUGGACUGCAACUGACACUGAUGCUCGAAAGUGUGGGUAUCAAACAGGAUUAGAUACCCUGGUAGUCCACACAGUAAACGAUGAAUACUCGCUGUUUGCGAUAUACAGUAAGCGGCCAAGCGAAAGCAUUAAGUAUUCCACCUGGGGAGUACGCCGGCAACGGUGAAACUCAAAGGAAUUGACGGGGGCCCGCACAAGCGGAGGAACAUGUGGUUUAAUUCGAUGAUACGCGAGGAACCUUACCCGGGCUUAAAUUGCAGUGGAAUGAUGUGGAAACAUGUCAGUGAGCAAUCACCGCUGUGAAGGUGCUGCAUGGUUGUCGUCAGCUCGUGCCGUGAGGUGUCGGCUUAAGUGCCAUAACGAGCGCAACCCUUAUCUUCAGUUACUAACAGGUCAUGCUGAGGACUCUGGAGAGACUGCCGUCGUAAGAUGUGAGGAAGGUGGGGAUGACGUCAAAUCAGCACGGCCCUUACGUCCGGGGCUACACACGUGUUACAAUGGGGGGUACAGAAGGCAGCUAGCGGGUGACCGUAUGCUAAUCCCAAAAGCCUCUCUCAGUUCGGAUCGAAGUCUGCAACCCGACUUCGUGAAGCUGGAUUCGCUAGUAAUCGCGCAUCAGCCACGGCGCGGUGAAUACGUUCCCGGGCCUUGUACACACCGCCCGUCAAGCCAUGGGAGCCGGGGGUACCUGAAGUACGUAACCGCAAGGAUCGUCCUAGGGUAAAACUGGUG
rnacentral:rRNA from 1 species